rnacentral:rRNA from 1 species
UAGGGAAUCUUCGGCAAUGGACGGAAGUCUGACCGAGCAACGCCGCGUGAGUGAAGAAGGUUUUCGGAUCGUAAAGCUCUGUUGUAAGAGAAGAACGAGUGUGAGAGUGGAAAGUUCACACUGUGACGGUAUCUUACCAGAAAGGGACGGCUAACUACGUGCCAGCAGCCGCGGUAAUACGUAGGUCCCGAGCGUUGUCCGGAUUUAUUGGGCGUAAAGCGAGCGCAGGCGGUUAGAUAAGUCUGAAGUUAAAGGCUGUGGCUUAACCAUAGUACGCUUUGGAAACUGUUUAACUUGAGUGCAAGAGGGGAGAGUGGAAUUCCAUGUGUAGCGGUGAAAUGCGUAGAUAUAUGGAGGAACACCGGUGGCGAAAGCGGCUCUCUGGCUUGUAACUGACACUGAGGCUCGAAAGCGUGGGGAGCAAACAGGAUUAGAUACCCUGGUAGUCCACGCCGUAAACGAUGAGUGCUAGGUGUUAGACCCUUUCCGGGGUUUAGUGCCGCAGCUAACGCAUUAAGCACUCCGCCUGGGGAGUACGACCGCAAGGUUG